AAAGCUAAUUAAAUUUAAUUUGUAUAUCUAUCUAAAACUGGUGUGGGAUUUGAAAAAUAGCAAAUGACGGAAGCACAUGAGCCUCGCAAAGAAUGUGGUCGCCGCACGUUUGCGCAACGUGUACCUUCAUUCUCUGUGAUUGUUGUUUAUUGCUUCCACAGUUGCAUAGAUCAUAAAACUUUCAAUCUGUUUAUGUCAGCAGUCAACACUGGAUGAAGUUUCCUCAUUUGUGACAGGGUAGCGGUGGUUCUAACGAUGGAACGGUGUCAUCGGUGAAUGUUUUUCUAAAUUUCUUAAAAUUAAUUCUAUUAUUUUGUUGUGAGGGUAUGUUUGACAAUAAAUAUUUUAGUUGAGGACACUUUUGUAUUUGUCUACUUUUGUUAUUUUUACAAUUGUUUGUUUAUUACAUUUUUCAUUUUUAAUUUUACAGAAUUAAAAUUUUUUAAACUUAACUUUGAUUAAAAUAGAUAUCCGUUGGGUAAGAAUUAUUGUCCACGUCGAUCAUAUAUUAUGAUUAUGAAUAUCCGUUAUUGAUCGAUCCAUUUGCCAUCCCGGGUAAUAGGUGCUCUCGUCACUCGGUAACUUCGCCUGAUAAAUCUCAACAAUGCCUUAAUUCGGUGCCCAUCGAGAAGAUAAAAAGCAGUAACUUUCCAGCUGGUAUACUGAUAAUCAUUUUUAAGCCCAAAAAUGUCAUAAAGAAAAGAAACCCAUUAGAGGUUGCUCUGUGUGCAUCUUCCGGGGAUGGUGAAAAUAAUUACGCACUAUAUAUAGCUAAUUAUUGAGCCAGUGUGAUUGGACCCUAACGAAAAAUUGAGUACCUUUUCCAGUACAUAACUAAACGCUACUCGAUCAAAUCCAGUGAAUAAAAUUAUAUUACUUGGUAGGUAGACCCAUCCUCUGGCUGUGAGUCCGAUGAAGAGAAUAUAUACAUCAGACUAAGAACUUGUAAUUAAUUGCAUGUAGCUUGUUUAGGCUUGUUGGGCUAAAGCAGAGACAAAGGUGGCAGUGGGUAUUGUGAAAAGGAUGCCAAGGCGUGGCCUGCAGCACUGCCCACAAGGGCCUAUUUAAGGGCGGCGGGAUACCGCUGCGCCGAAUACCGGCGGGAUAUCAGGAUCUUUGCAUUCUAUCUUGGGUCGGGUUAGAUCCGACCAUAAGUUUUACUUUUACCCUUUUAGCAGAUCUCAGUACACGUAUCAGAGACUCUGAGCCCGUUCUGAUUUCUUUUCUAUAAAUAAAUACUCACGGAGUCACGGUCGUCGUAUAAGCUUUCAUUUCAUAUGCAUGCAUUAAUUAUUAUGGUAAAGUGUAUAGAAAGAGUUGACCUUUCUAUGCAUUAAUCGGACAUGGUGUGUUUAAGACCGAACGGUGAAUACCGCCUGGUCUGAUUGAUUCCAACCUGCUUCUACUUGAAGAAAAAAUGAAAGUGAGAGGCCGAGAUGCGAAAUAUUUAUAACUGGUGACAGAUUCUUGUCCAAUUAUUAUUUUCUUUUGCUUUCUUUCUGCCUUUGCUUGUUGCUAGCUUCUCUUGUUCUUCCUCUCUUGGCUGGUGUUAAUGAGUAAUGACAUCUGUAUUGUUGUCUUAAUAAUAUUGAUUAAAAUUACAAAGAAAUUAUUGUAAGCGCCAAAGAUUUUUUGUUGAAGAUUUUGUUUUUAUACUUUUGAGAGUAGAACAUAUAUAAAUCUUACGACAAAAAGAAAGGAGAACUGAAAUUUAUUAAUUGGAAAAUAAUAGGGUUUUAUACAUAAAAGACAGGUGGGGUAUGCAAAAUCUAUAUUAGUUUUAGGGUGCAUUUGGAAUUGAGUUUGAACAGCUGUAACUUUUAAGGUAUAAUGUUAAAAUAUUUGGUAAACACUACCUGGUGUAUCUUGGAAGUAGGGAUGGCAAUGGGGGAGGGGAGGGGAGGGGACCGAUCUCCCCGUACCCAUCCCCGAUAUUUUACGUAUGUCCCCAUCCCCUCCCCGUCCUCGUCAGAAUUACUUGAGAGAAUCCCCAUCCCCUCCCCGAAUAAUAACAGGGGAUCCCCGAGGUUCCCCGAUCCCCGAAUAACUAAUACAUUUUUUUUUUUCGAUUUUGAGUUAAUCAUAUUAAAAUAAAAAAUUCAAAUAAAAGUAAAGUUCGAAAUAUAUCUUACAUUAAUAUCUAUUACAAAAGUCACAUACAUUAAAUUAGUAAGUAACGCAACAUGCAAGGGAUACAAACUUAUUUUACAAACUAUCAUGAACAAAUUAAUAGUCUAAUACAAAAUUGUUACAAAUAAAAUCGAAUUUAGAUUCAAAAUUAACUUUUUCAAUGGUGGCGUGGGCACUUUAUAAAUGUGGACUAUUCCCUUUACAACACAAUAGUUAAAUCGGAGCAAAUCAAAAAUAAAUAUUAGAUUAGAUUAGAUUAGAUAUUAAAAUUGUGAUUCGCUGUGGGCAAUUAUAACAUCUAAAAUUAAAUAAAAAAUAGAUUUAAGUUUAAAAUAUUUAAAGAAUAUCAAAAUUAAAAAAAAUGUUUGGCUAAUAGAAUCUACUCGGUCUU
rnacentral:lncRNA from 1 species